rnacentral:rRNA from 1 species
CCUACGGGCGGCAGCAGUGGGGAAUAUUGGACAAUGGGGGCAACCCUGAUCCAGCCAUGCCGCGUGUGUGAAGAAGGCCCUCGGGUUGUAAAGCACUUUCAGUGAGGAAGAACGCCUGGUGGUUAAUACCCAUCAGGAAAGACAUCACUCACAGAAGAAGCACCGGCUAACUCCGUGCCAGCAGCCGCGGUAAUACGGAGGGUGCGAGCGUUAAUCGGAAUUACUGGGCGUAAAGCGCACGUAGGUGGCUUGAUAAGCCGGUUGUGAAAGCCCCGGGCUCAACCUGGGAACGGCAUCCGGAACUGUCAAGCUAGAGUGCAGGAGAGGAAGGUAGAAUUCCCGGUGUAGCGGUGAAAUGCGUAGAGAUCGGGAGGAAUACCAGUGGCGAAGGCGGCCUUCUGGACUGACACUGACACUGAGGUGCGAAAGCGUGGGUAGCAAACAGGAUUAGAUACCCCUGUAGUC